UUUUUAAUCUCCUCCCACGAGACCCCAUUUCACAAAAAUUUUGAAAAUUCUCUUGGUUGGAAUCGACGGCUGCUCUCAAACACAAUGCCCUAAUUCCUCUUAUGCUUGAAGUCGACGAGAACCCCCAUCUUCUAGUGCACGACUCCGACGUCAAUCCUAAAGACCUUCGACCACCUCAAGCGCUCCGUCCGUCACCAUCUUUGGCUUUCCUAUCUUCGACUGUCACACGCAAAGGUAAACUCGCUCCGCAUCUACUCCACAUCGCAGCACACCCCUGACCUUCCAUCUUCGGUGCACUUGUUCUUCCCCAUCUUCGGCUGUCGUUGAUGGUGUUGAUAGCGAUUUUGGGGCUGUGGAGGCUGGGAAAACACGAAGUAACAGCCCAAUCAUUCUGAUUUUCAGCUUGUGGACACAAUAUGUGAAAGUAAUUUCUGUAAGUAUAUUAUUGCUUGUUUCCCAAUUUGCACAAAUAGAAACUACAUCAGUAAGUAUUGCUUCGAUUGAGUUGAUUUCAGCCGCUGAACGAGAUUGUGUAGGUUUCCUUCCUAAUUUCUUGCUUAAUCGGCGCACAUGGAGGUGAAUUUCAAGGAACCAUGGGUAAAAUUAGGUCGUCUAUCACCAGAAAUUCGAGAGCAACUUGCUCUAUCGAUGAGUUCUUGUCCAACCGAUAGGAGGUGGGUAUAUAGAAUUAAUUAUUGAAAGAAUUAACAGCAAUUCAUUUUCUGUCACUUUCAGGUUGGCAAUCAUAGUAAUAGCAACUGUUGCUAUUAGAACCUUGUUGGCUCCAAUCACGAUUAAUCAACACAAGGUUGCCUCAAAGUUAAUUGUGAGCUCUACUCAUUUGCCUAACAUAUUUAUUACUUCAUACAUUUGAAGAUGAAAGCCAAUAUAUGUAAAACAUCAGUCAACAUCUCUCCCCAUCUAUCUCUGGAUUUCGGGGCCAGAAUUGGAGCAGAUUCACCAAAAGAUGGAAGAUAAGGUAUGCCCAUCAUCAAACUUCUUCUGUCAUUUGUCAUGUUACAUGUUACAUAGAUGAAAAGUUCAUGUUUAUGCUGGUGCACUAUGUAUAAAGAGCCAACUUUGUCUAAAUUAUAAUAUAUUGUUUCAAAAAUGAAGUUAAAGAUAUUGAAUAACAUGCUUGUGAAUCAAUAUCCUUAAUUUGAUGCUACAAUAUAACUUUUGGUCAUGAAUAAUUAAUUAUUAAUGCAAGUAGAAGGCUAGGGGACUUCCUGCAUGUGCAAUGCUCUUAAUGUUUGUUUAUUGAAUUUGACAUGCUUAUCCUUUUAAGAAGAUGAAACUCUUUGGCCCUUGAUUAUUUUUAUUAUUAAAAAUUAUUAGUAACCUUUUCUGAGCAUGAGUCCAACGGUUGUAGCUGAAGUUGAGGAACAAAAGAAAAGAGUAUAUAUGGAGUAUUCUGUUGCUAUGUAUACUCAAUUGACUAGGCUUUUCAUCUAAGCCCCUAUUUUUGUCAGCUUUUUCCUUGUUAUUGAGAACAUGGUGGAAAAGGUUCCAUCUUUUCAAACUGGUGCGCAUAUUGGUUCAUCGACCUUACCAUUGUUGAUGCCUUCUAUAUUCUUCCUUUAUUGGCUGCCAUUUCAUGUUGGAUAACUAUCGAGUUUACCAUGCAGGAAGGUAAGCGUGUUGGUGUUUGGAAAAACAUUGCAAGGGGUCGUGCUGCUCUUACGCUUCCUCUUACAGCAAGUUUCCCAAACGUAUCUAUCACAUCACAACUCUUUUUCUUAAUUAUGAAAUUUCCAACCUUCUCACUUGUUGAAACUUUGUAGUAAUGAAACAAUUGGUUGAUAGUUGAUACUGGUCUGAAUGAAGCAGAGGAAGUUUUAUUUUUAUUGAUUUCCAAAAGGUACCAAUUAGAAGGUAUUGCCUGAUAAGGUAAAAUCAGUUAUGAUUUAUAACUCUAUAUGUAUUUUUAUACAAAUAAAUUUAUGAAGAUUCAUUUGACUAGUUAUCAUUUAUAACUCUAUAUGUAAUUUUAUUAUUUGUUAUACAUACAUACUUCUCCUUUAAAGUUGCCCAAAAUGUCGUGAUUCUCUUUCAUUUUAGAGUAGGAGAUAGUGAUACAUAAGACAGUUGAGUAAAGUGAAUUAUUUCACAAAGGGAUCAACUAAUUUGCUUAGUGAGAUAUACACAGGAAGCAUCCUAAUUGCUGUCAACCCGUUCACAAAGCUUCCUCAUUUGAUGCCCUUCUCAAGAAGACAAGGAUCAAUACAAACAAGAUGAAUGCCUAGCUAUGUUUAGGUUUUCGUUUAUGAUGUGUUUGAUUUUUUAACAAUUAUUUAAAUUCUUGAAAUGAGGACAAUUUUCUUUUCUUUGAUAUUUUAAUUUGGAAUGUAAUGUAUGGAUUUGAAUUUCAAUUAUUAGUAAU